rnacentral:rRNA from 1 species
UACGUAGGGGGCUAGCGUUGUCCGGAAUCAUUGGGCGUAAAGCGCGUGUAGGCGGUUCGGUAAGUCCGCUGUGAAAGUCGGGGGCUCAACCCUCGAAUGCCGGUGGAUACUGUCGGGCUAGAGUGCGGAAGAGGCGAGUGGAAUUCCUGGUGUAGCGGUGAAAUGCGCAGAUAUCAGGAGGAACACCAAUUGCGAAGGCAGCUCGCUGGGACGCUACUGACGCUGGAGACGCGAAAGCGUGGGGAGCAAACAGG